GGAUGCAAUCAUACCAGCACUAAUGAAUCGGAUCCCAUCAGAACUCUGAAGUUAAGCGUGCUUGAGUGAGAGUAGUACUAAAAUGGGUGACUCCAAGUCCUCAUGUUCAUCCC
rnacentral:rRNA from 1 species